CAUCACUCCCUCUAAUAAUUUCAAGGCAUGGUUUGGAGCUGGGAGAAGGAGAUUUCCAAAUCACAUAAAAAAUGGCAGGGGCUGGAAGACUCCUCUACAGAUCAUCCAGUCCAACCCCACUUCAGAGGCAGGGUCACCUAGAGGAGGCCACACAGGAACACAUCCAGCUGCUGCCUCCUGCCACAAGCAGCUGUGAAACACUACGAGGAAAAGCCUUGCAAAAGAGCACCAGAAGCUUUGAAAAACUACCUGGAGUUGCCUGUGGCUGUGAUCCCUCUCCUGGUUCAACAAUAGCUGGCAGUAGCCAGCCAGUCUGCACCCUUAAAGGUCAGGAUGACUCAACUGGUGUGGGGAUCUGCUGGGUCAGGAGGGGACAGGUUCAUGCCUAGGGCAGAAGGCUGCUGGAGGUGAUGUCUUGCGGAGAAGACCAUCCCCUCAGCUCCCUGCUGCCUGCCCUUGCCUUGCUGCCCAGUUGGCAACAGCAGGACCUGUGAAGCUCCUGGAAGGACCUUGGGAUAACCUGGGCACCUUGGCAAGAAGCCAGCUUUUGUACCCAACCCUGUGGGUGAGCUCUGGCAGGUGGCAUAGCUGUCGUUCCCCUGGCGCUCUCAGGGGCUGUGUGCAUUUCAUUCAACACCUUUUGGAUUAAAUGUGACCUAAAAUUCAACUCCUGAAAGACUUCAUGGUCCUCUGGAUCUCACAGACAAUGUGAGGGCCACCAGGCUUCCUCAGGGAGGAGGAGAUUUGAAAGCAGUGCUAUGGCUUAAAUAAUUAAAUGGAGUCCAAUGAGCUUUUCCUGGGA